AGUGGGCCGGGUCUGCAUGGAGGCGGGGCUGGGGGAGGCAAACCCGCCUGGCCCGUUGAGAGAAUCAAAGCCCACAUGGCUCUGCUCCCGGAGAACACAGGUCACCCUGGGAACUACCUCCAUCCGCCGUUAGAAAUGGGGAUGCUGUUGAGAUAGUCCCCCUCUAGCCGCUCAACAACAACGAUUGUCUGGAGAGUGAAGCUCACCCUCCGGAAUACGCAAUGCAGAGAGCUCAAGCCAAGCCCAGCCCAUCAGUGUGGUCCUCAGUCACAGCUGAGUCUGGCGGAGCCUGGACGCCUUCUUGACUAAGGUGAUGGUCAGGUCGGGGCUAUGGCAGGGACCUUUCUCCUGGAACUCUCUCUAGGAGUCUAGUGAUAGAGAGAUGGAGGCUGGGAGAAACUUGACUUCCUCAAGACGCUGUGGUGGUGGUUGUCACCAUUUCUGGAGAAUAGCAGGGAGAUGGCUCGUUAAACUCUGCGGAGGCUGGGCUGGGCCGAGCCAGUGUGGAUUCCUUACAUACUUGGGUAAUUCACAAUCCUCCCUGAGGCCUUUAACUGAGAUUUCCAUUCUGCUUCCUUUCUGCUCCCCUCCAAAUUUGAGAGCUGAGUUGGGGCUGUUUUUUAGACAGUUUUAUUGAGGUAUAUUUGACAUUUAAUAUGUGGAGCAUAUCCAAAGUAUAUACUCUGAUAAGUUUUGACUAUGCAUACCCGUUUGAAACUGUCACUACCAUCAAGGGAAUAUAUCCAUCAUCCUCAGGUCUCCUCACUCCCCUUUGUAAUUUCUUGUGCCCAUCCCUCCCUGCCUCCCACACCUAAACGACCACUGAUCUACUUUCUGUCACUAUAGAGUCAUUUGCGUUUUCUAAAGUUUUAUAUAAAUAGAAUCAGGCGGUAUGUAUUCUUGUUUGGUCUGGUUUCUUUUACUCAGUAUCAUUAUCUUGACAUUCAUCUAUGUUGUUCUGUGUACCAAUAGUUCAUUCCUUUUUAUUGCUGAGUAUAUUCCAUUAUAUGGAUGUCCAGCAAGUUAUUUAUCCACUCAUGUGUUGAUGGACGUUUGGGCUGUGUCUAGUUUUGGACUAUUACCAAUAAAGCUGCUAUGAACGUUUGUGUACAA